AGCUGCACGGCCUGCACUUGCUUGAAAAGGGUAAUUAUUGCACUGCUACAGCUGACAAGGUAGCUUCAUUAAACAGGUGCAAAACUAAAACCUAAGAACUCUGUAAAAUCCAAUAAAUAGCUGUAUCACUAGAACACCUAACACCAGAGAUCAGCCACAGCAUAGAAA